rnacentral:rRNA from 1 species
CCCUUAGAGUUUGAUCCUGGCUCAGAUUGAACGCUGGCGGCGUGCCUAACACAUGCAAGUCGAUCGGUAACGCGGGGCAACCUGGCGACGAGAGGCGGACGGGUGAGCAAUGUUUGGGAAUCUGCCUAUUAGUGGGGGACAACCCGGGGAAACUCGGGCUAAUACCGCAUACGCUCUACGGAGGAAAGCCGGGGACCGCAAGGCCUGGCGCUAAUAGAUGAGCCCAAAUCGGAUUAGCUAGUUGGUGAGGUAACGGCUCACCAAGGCGACGAUCCGUAGCUGGUCUGAGAGGACAACCAGCCACACCGGAACUGAGACACGGUCCGGACUCCUACGGGAGGCAGCAGUGGGGAAUAUUGGACAAUGGGGGAAACCCUGAUCCAGCGACGCCGCGUGGGUGAAGAAGGCCUGCGGGUUGUAAAGCCCUUUCGGUGGGGAUGAAAAGCCCUGUUCUAACAAAGCAGGGUCUUGACCUAACCCAAGAAAGAAGCACCGGCUAACUCUGUGCCAGCAGCCGCGGUAAUACAGAGGGUGCGAGCGUUAAUCGGAAUUACUGGGCGUAAAGCGCGCGUAGGCGGCUUUGCAAGUCGAUUGUGAAAUCCCCGGGCUUAACCUGGGAACUGCAGUCGAGACUG